CCUACGGGGGGCAGCAGUGGGGAAUAUUGGACAAUGGGCGAAAGCCUGAUCCAGCCAUGCCGCGUGUGUGAAGAAGGCCUUCGGGUUGUAAAGCACUUUCAGUGGGGAAGAAAGCCUUGGGGCUAAUACCCUCGAGGAAGGACAUCACCCACAGAAGAAGCACCGGCUAACUCCGUGCCAGCAGCCGCGGUAAUACGGAGGGUGCGAGCGUUAAUCGGAAUUACUGGGCGUAAAGCGCGCGUAGGCGGUCUGAUAAGCCGGUUGUGAAAGCCCCGGGCUCAACCUGGGAACGGCAUCCGGAACUGUCAGGCUGGAGUGCAGGAGAGGAAGGUAGAAUUCCCGGUGUAGCGGUGAAAUGCGUAGAGAUCGGGAGGAAUACCAGUGGCGAAGGCGGCCUUCUGGACUGACACUGACGCUGAGGUGCGAAAGCGUGGGUAGCAAACAGGAUUAGAUACCCGUGUAGUC
rnacentral:rRNA from 1 species